rnacentral:tRNA from 1 species
AGAAACUUAGGUUACACCCAAACCAAGGGCCUUCAGAGCCCUAAACAAGAGCCCUCCCCUCUUAGUUUCUG